CAAUAGCGUAUAUUAAAGUUGUUGCAGUUAAAAAGCUCGUAGUUGGAUUUCGGGAUGGCCCGGCCGGUCCGCCGCAAGGUAUGUUACUGGCCGAGCUGUUCUUCUUCGCAAAGACUGUGUGUGCUCUUAACUGAGUGUGCUCAGGAUCUGUGACGUUUACUUUGAAAAAAUUAGAGUGUUCAAAGCAAGCCAGCGCUUGAAUACAUAAGCAUGGAAUAAUGGAAUAGGACUUUGGUUCUAUUUUGUUGGUUUCUGGAACCUUAGUAAUGAUUAAGAGAGACAGUUGGGGGCAUUCGUAUUUCGUUGUCAGAGGUGAAAUUCUUGGAUUUACGAAAGACGAACUACUGCGAAAGCAUUUGCCAAGAAUGUUUUCAUUAA
rnacentral:rRNA from 1 species